UACAGAGGGGGCAAGCGUUGUUCGGAAUUACUGGGCGUAAAGGGCGCGUAGGCGCCUUCUAAGUCGAACGUGAAAUCCCCGGGCUCAACCCGGGAACUGCGUCCGAUACUGGAAGGCUUGAAUCCGGGAGAGGGAUGCGGAAUUCCAGGUGUAGCGGUGAAAUGCGUAGAUAUCUGGAGGAACACCGGUGGCGAAGGCGGC
rnacentral:rRNA from 1 species